UACAGAGGGGGCAAGCGUUAUUCGGAGUUAUUGGGCGUAAAGGGCGCGUAGGCGGCCUGGCAAGUGGAAGGUGAAAUCCCUCGGCUUAACCGAGGAACUGCCUCCCAAACUGCUUGGCUUGAGACCGGGAGAGGUGAGUGGAAUUCCCAGUGUAGCGGUGAAAUGCGUAGAUAUCUGGAGGAACACCGGUGGCGAAGGCGGCAUCCUGGACCGAUAUUGACGCUGAGGCGCGAAAGCCAGGGGAGCAAACGGG
rnacentral:rRNA from 1 species